GGGUUGUGAGGUUAAGCGACCAAGCGUACACGGUGGAUGCCCUGGCAGUCAGAGGCGAUGAAGGACGUGCUAAUCUGCGAUAAGCGCCGGUAAGGUGAUAUGAACCGUUAUAACCGGCGAUUUCCGAAUGGGGAAACCCAGUGUGACUCGUCACACUAUCAUUAACUGAAUCCAUAGGUUAAUGAGGCGAACCGGGGGAACUGAAACAUCUAAGUACCCCGAGGAAAAGAAAUCAACCGAGAUUCCCCCAGUAGCGGCGAGCGAACGGGGAGGAGCCCAGAGCCUGAAUCAGCAUAUGUGUUAGUGGAAGCGCCUGGAAAGGCGCGCGAUACAGGGUGACAGCCCCGUACACAAAAGCGCAUAUGCUGUGAGCUCGAUGAGUAGGGCGGGACACGUGGUAUCCUGUCUGAAUAUGGGGGGACCAUCCUCCAAGGCUAAAUACUCCUGACUGACCGAUAGUGAACCAGUACCGUGAGGGAAAGGCGAAAAGAACCCCGGCGAGGGGAGUGAAAAAGAACCUGAAACCGUGUACGUACAAGCAGUGGGAGCCCCACCACUAAGCCAGUGGUGAACUCCACAUACGCAUCCUUUGCUGAGGAUACGGUUAACGGAGCGAAAGCGACGUUCAACCUCAAAAGAAGCAGAGGGGGCUUAGUGGUGGGGUGACUGCGUACCUUUUGUAUAAUGGGUCAGCGACUUAUAUUCUGUAGCAAGGUUAACCG
rnacentral:rRNA from 1 species